UAUGUAAUAAUUAUGCACAUGUAAUAAAUUAUGUAUGUAUUUGUUGUAUGCUCAAAAGGGCCCUGAUUAUAAACAGAUAUCAUAAAUACUAAAAGAAAUAUUAAAUACUACAGGUGAAGCAAAAUAUGGACUAGGCUAAGGCAGUGUAUUCAGCAUUCUCUGCAGAAAUAAUGUGGCCAUUCAAAUCAAGUGUCAGCUGGAAAGAGGAAUAUCAAGGGUGCUUUUUACAUUAACUUCAAAGUAGCCAUUGGAAAAUUCAAGACAGAUCUGCUAUAGUAACUGUACAUGUGUGACAGGAAAGGAGGAAAAUGUAUGGCUGGACCGAGAUUCUAACCUGGGACACCUGCAUCACUAGUCAGAUCUUAUGGACAUACAUGAUCCUUGGCUAUAUAAUCAAGUGUCAUAUGCAGUGUUACAAAAGAAUAUUGGAAUUAUGUCAAUAAGAAAAAGAACUACCAGAAGGAUACAGUAAAGAGGAACAGACAUAUCCCACCCAUUAUAUAUGUGCUUCAAAAUCUGAAUAUACAGAAUGAAUUCCGCUCAUUGCAGCUCCUUCUGAAAAGAACACCUUUGUUGUAUUGACAUAGAAUCAACAGAAUUGUCCGGUUCCUUGAACAUGACACAACUGGAUCCAUAUGAUGGCAAUUAAAGAUUCAUACAUGUGUACAUAAAUGAUUGAUCUUCGUCAGCCAAUAAGCCAAAAAACUACAGCUAGCAAAAUAACAAGUUUAUCUUACUUUUCCAAAUGAAUCUUAAUGGUAAUACAUG